rnacentral:lncRNA from 1 species
GAUACGUCAUUUACAGACAAGAUCUUUGAAGUUUAUUUCCUUCAGACAGCAGUGGAAGAAGAGGCUAAAAUCAAAACAUAACAGACAGAAAAACAUAAAGACUAGAAGAAACAGCACUUCACUUUUUCUUUCCAAAUAUUCAGAGAACCACCAAAAUCUGGUGGAUUACCUCCACCCAUCUUCUGGAUUUGAGAUGUAACCUGGCGUGCAAGAGUUCCUCAGAUGAGGGGUGCAGUAAGACAAGGAGCCAGCCUCAAUGGACAUAGCCCAUUAUCGAGAUCUCAACAGGAGAAUAUCUAAAGCAAAUCUCCAAGUGCAUCAAGAAUUCUAAGAAGGCUAAAUAUCCCUGAGGUAACUAGAAGGAAGACCAUGAGGAGUAAUGUAGGUGAGUAUUCAGA